rnacentral:rRNA from 1 species
UACGCAGGGUGCGAGCGUUAAUCGGAAUUACUGGGCGUAAAGCGUGCGCAGGCGGUUCGCCAAGUCAGGUGUGAAAUCCCCGGGCUUAACCUGGGAAUUGCGCUUGAAACUAGCGGGCUUGAGUGUGGCAGAGGGGGGUGGAAUUCCACGUGUAGCAGUGAAAUGCGUAGAGAUGUGGAGGAACACCGAUGGCGAAGGCAGCCCCCUGGGUCAACACUGACGCUCAUGCACGAAAGCGUGGGGAGCAAACAGG